GCCUAGUUAGCUUGGUUGGUAGCGCGUCUGCCUUGUAAGCGUAAGGUCGCGGGUUUGAUUCCCGCGAGGGGCG
rnacentral:tRNA from 1 species